UGCGAAUAGCUCAGUUGGGAGCGUUAGACUGAAGAUCUAAAGGUCCCUGUUCGAUCCGGGUUUCGGCAG
rnacentral:tRNA from 1 species